AAAUGGCUCAUGAAUGACGGUCUAAAAUGACGUGCGACAAUGAAUCAGAUCAUGUAAGAGAUGAAGUUGGCGUUGGCCAAUAGACAAACCCAAUAUUCCUCAACCUCCUCAUGGCUGGCGACAAGAGCUGAAGGAGGCUGAAGAUUUUCCAAUGCAUACAUUUGCAAUUCAGUUAGAAUUACUUUUAAGGCAUUUAAGCAAUGAAAAUGUCAUUGUAACUUUAAUUGAGCAGACACAUUUUUCUUGAUAAGUAUUACAUUGCUCCAUUGGGUGAGAGAUUUCGAUCAAUGGUGAAAGUUAAAAGCUAAAAUUCAUAGCUUGAUGGUCAUAAACAGUUGCAUAUAUUCUCAUAACUUGUUGUAAGACAAAUGAAUAAUUUC
rnacentral:lncRNA from 1 species